GAGGGGAUGAAGACCUCAUCCCUGGAGGUCUUUAAAAGAUGUUUAGAUGUAGAGCUUAGUGAUAUGGUGUAGUGGAGGACUCUUAGUGUUAGGUCAGAGGUUGGACUCGAUGAUCCUUGAGGUCCAACCUAGAAAUUCUGUGAUUCUGUGAAGAAGAAUUGUGAGACCCAACAGGGCUGUGCUGGAGCAGCUCAGCCACCAGCAGUACCCAUGAGGGCCUGCUGGUGCAGGGGUCUGCAGCACCCCUGGCCUGAGCACAGCAGCGUGUUUCAGGCCGCCCGCCCCAACCGUCUCUGGCUUAGGGCCAGAAGAGGGGAAAAAAAUAUCUCACAGAGUGAGCACAUGGCCUCCUGAGCGGUAGUCUUGGCUCUCAGCGGUGGGUUUUGAACUUGAUUACAGCUGGAGGAAUUCUAAACAAUCCAAGUCUCCUUGUCAUGGUGUUUAAGUGCAUUGUGCUCCUGUCUGAACAGAGGAAAUCGCUGAGGUCAGAAAGAUGCUCUGCUUUAAAGCUGUGCUGUCCUGGCAACGCUAAGGGAUCUUCCACUUCAGGAGUGCCACGGAGCUGCUUUGUCACAAACUGGUGGAUGGUGGUAUUAUUUCUGCAUUCCUUACAUUUCUUUCUUGAGACUGGGAACAUGGAUUCUCUUGGCAAAGAUUGUGUUCUGGGAGGAUUUGUUUCACGUUAUGGUACUUCUUUAAGGAAGGCGUAG
rnacentral:lncRNA from 1 species